GAUGAAGAACGUCAGCGAAAUGCGAUAAGUAAUGUGAAUUGCAGAAUUCAGUGAAUCAUCGAAUCUUUGAACGCACAUUGCGCCCGCCAGUAUUCUGGCGGGCAUGCCUGUUCGAGCGUCAUUACAACCCUCAGGCCCCCGGGCCUGGCGUUGGGGAUCGGCGGAGCCCCCCGUGGGCACACGCCGUCCCCCAAAUGCAGUGGCGGUCCCGCCGCAGCUUCCAUCGCGUAGUAGCUAACACCUCGCGACUGGAGAGCGGCGCGGCCACGCCGUAAAACACCCAACUCUUCUGAAGUUGACCUCGAAUCAGGUAGGAAUACCCGCUGAACUUAAGCAUAUCAAUAAGCGGAGGA
rnacentral:misc_RNA from 1 species